rnacentral:rRNA from 1 species
AAAGUCGUAACAAGGUUUCCGUAGGUGAACCUGUUGAAGGAUCAUUG